UUGGAGUCUGCAACCCGACUCCAUGAAGCUGGAUUCGCUAGUAAUCGCGCAUCAGCCACGGCGCGGUGAAUACGUUCCCGGGCCUUGUACACACCGCCCGUCAAGCCAUGGAAGCCGGGAGUGCCUGAAGUGCGUGAGCGCAAGCAGCGCCCUAAGGUAAAAACCGGUGACUGGGGCUAAGUCGUAACAAGGUAUC
rnacentral:rRNA from 1 species